rnacentral:rRNA from 1 species
AGCAGCCGCGGUAAUUCCAGCUCCAAUAGCGUAUAUUAAAGUUGUUGCAGUUAAAAAGCUCGUAGUUGAAUUUCGGGAUCAAGGAAUCGGUCAUGCCUUGGUAUGUACUGGUUUUAUUGGUUCUCACCUUCUAAAGAACCAUAAUGUCAUUUAUUUGAUGUUAUGGGGAAUUAGGACUGUUACCUUGAAAAAAUUAGAGUGUUUAAAGCAAGCUCACGCUUGAAUACAUUAGCAUGGAAUAAUGAAAUAGGACAUUGUAUUCUAUUUUAUUGGUUUUUAGGAUCGAUGUAAUGAUUAAUAGGGAUAGUUGGGGCAUUAGUAUUCAAUUGUUAGAGGUGAAAUUCUUGGAUUUAUUGAAGACUAACUACUGCGAAAGCAUUUGCCAAGGAUGUUUUCAUUAAUAAAGAACGAAAGUUAGGGGAUCGAAGACGAUCAGAUACCGUCGUAGUCUUAACCAUAAACUAUGUCCGACUAGGAAUCAGACGAUGUUAAUUUUUUAAUUGACUCGUUUGGCACCUUA